CGAUAAAAGAUAAAAAAUUCACAUUGAAAUGUAAAACAAUGGGUACUGGUACUACAGUAAUUUGGUAUACUGGAAAUGGAACAGUUAUUGCUAAAUACAUUGGAAUAUUGAACCAAAAUAUUGUUAAAUAUUUUGGUAGCCGUCAAGAAACUAGUUGCCAAAGCAAUAGUUGCACAUUGAGUAUAACCAAUGUCAGUUUAGAUGAAGACAACAUGGACAUUAUUUGCAAAAGCGGUUUACAUACAAGCAUGUACAGUAUUACAGUAUUUGUUUUACCCAAAUCAGUCACAAUCAAGGCUAUUUCUGACACAGUUCCUGUGGAAAAUCAGAUCAAAAGUUAUGAAUGCCUUAUUAAAGAUGCCAAACCUGAAUUUUCAGUUUUCUGGCUGAUUACAAGGAAAAAUGGAACACAAGAAAAUGCUACAAAGAAUAUUUCAAACAACUCAAGCAAAUCAGGAGACCUGAUCACUUUAUCAUCAAAAUUGACAUUAACUCUUCAUAAGAGGUUUAAAGAAUUACAGUGUGUUGCAUAUUUUCUGGAUAAAACUGGAAUUGUUACUUAUUCAAAGAAACUAGACAUGCUCAUAGAAUAUUCUCCAGAAAAAGAUACCAUGACAUUAAAUGUUUUUGGAGGAAAAGUAUGUGCUGAUACUCCAACCAAAUUCCAGUGCAGUUGGAAAGGUGGUCAUCCACCAGCAAAUGUAACCCUGAUGUAUAAAAAUGUAUCAAAUACUAGUAAAGAAGAAGUUGAACUUAACGUAAUACCUUCCAAAUUUCAUCAAACAGUCAAGUGUCUGGGCAUUCAUAUUGCUGCAAAUGUGUCUCGUGAAAAGAAUUUUACUAUUUAUUAUCCUCCUCAAGUAAACAUUCAUAUUUCAAAUGAGACAAAUAAUACUUUACAAAUUAAUUGCACUGCAUUUGGUGGAAACCCAGAGAUUUAUGAAUACAAACUGGAGCAAAAAUGGGGAAAUGCCACUAAGAAUACUUAUAAUAUGAAUGUAUUAUCUAUAAACAAUCCUUCCUUCAGUAAUACUGGUACAUGGGAGUGUCAUGUAAGCAAUGAAGAUUUUCAUGUGAAUAAAUCAUCAAACUACAAAUUUCCAAUGAAACCUAUUUUCAGUUCAAUAUCAAACAAUCCCAAAAAGAGAAAUGUUGCAAUUGGAGAAUCUGUAAUUUUCAAACAGUGUUUUUAUUCCCAUCCAAAAUCUGAUGUAAAAUGGCAAAAGAAUGAGAAUUUAAUUGACUCCAACAAAUAUUUAACAACUGAUUAUUUAUCGAGUGAGUUUCCUUUCAAAGGAAGCUGCACUAGUGUAAAAAUAGAAGACAUUAAAGAUAAUGAUUUUGGUACUUAUACCUUAACAGUGGAAAAUACCAUAGGGAAAAAAGUGAUUAUUUUUGCCAUGAGACUUAAAGAAAUUGUGGAAGUCCCUUUGAGAAUAAUUAUUGGUUGCACUGUAGGAAUUGUAUUAUUAAUAAUUUUGGGGCUUCUUGCUUAUAAAUGCCACAAAAAAAGAGGUGUAAAACACAAUAAAAAAUGUGGAAGAUGUUUAUGCAACUAUUUCAUCUGAACCAAGCACUGUGGAAGAUCAGGAUGCUGAAAUUAGUGAUCCCAGAUAUUUAUGUAUGAGACACCUAAACAUGGAUGGUGCUUA
rnacentral:misc_RNA from 1 species